rnacentral:rRNA from 1 species
AAUGAACGUUGGCGGCGUGGAUUAGGCAUGCAAGUCGAGCGAGAAUUUGCGAUUGGAAGCUUCGGCCGAAGAAAGUGAAGGAAAGCGGCAAACGGCGUAGUAAGGCGUAGGUACGUACCCUCGGGUCGGGAAUAGCCAUGGGAAACUGUGGGUAAUGCCCGAUAAUCUCUGCGGAGCAAAGAUGUGAUUCCGCCGGAGGAGCGGCUUACGUGAUAUUAGCUAGUUGGUGGGGUAAUGGCCUACCAAGGCAACGAUGUCUAGGGGGUGUGAGAGCAUGGCCCCCACGACGGAACUGAGACACUGUCCGGACACCUACGGGUGGGCUGCAGUCGAGAAUCUUCCGCAAUGGGCGAAAGACCUGACGGAGCGACGCCGCGUGGUGGAU